rnacentral:lncRNA from 1 species
GGCCAGGCGUGGUGGCUCACGCCUGUAAUCCCAGCACUUUGGGAGGCCGAGCCGGGCGGAUCACGAGGUCAGGAGAUCGAGACCAUCCUGGCUAACACGAGACAGGGUUUCGCCGUGUUGGCUGGGCUGGUCUCGAACUCCUGACCUCAAGUGAUCUGUCCUGGCCUCCCAAAGUGUUGGGAUUACAGGCGAAAGCCACCGUGAAGCCCAGCUAAUUUUUUUGUAUUUUUAGUAGAGACGGGGUUUCACCAUGUUAGCCAGGAUGGUCUCAAUCUCCUGACCUCGUGAUCCGCUCGCCUUGGCCUCCCAAAGCGCUGGGAUUAUGGUCGUGAGCCACUGCGC